UACGUAGGGUCCGAGCGUUGUCCGGAAUUAUUGGGCGUAAAGGGCUCGUAGGCGGUCUGUUGCGUCGGGAGUGAAAACUUACAGCUUAACUGUGAGCGUGCUUCCGAUACGGGCAGACUUGAGGUAUUCAGGGGAGAACGGAAUUCCUGGUGUAGCGGUGAAAUGCGCAGAUAUCAGGAGGAACACCGGUGGCGAAGGCGGUUCUCUGGGAAUAUCCUGACGCUGAGGAGCGAAAGUGUGGGGAGCGAAUAGG
rnacentral:rRNA from 1 species